GCGGGCGUGGUGGAAUUGGCAGACACGCCGGCUUUAGGUGCCGGUGCCGCAAGGCGUGGGGGUUCGAGUCCCUCCGCCCGCA
rnacentral:tRNA from 1 species